GUCCCCUUAGUUAAAUGGAUAUAACGAGGCCCCUCCCUAAGGGCUGGUGCGGGUUCGAUUCCUGUGGGGACACCA
rnacentral:tRNA from 1 species